AUUGCGUAAUUAACCAAAAACAACUAGCAGUGACACCACUCGGCUAUUUAUUUUUCUCAUUUAGAGAAGAAAAAACGGGACGAAGAAAUUCUCCUGCGAUUUUGGAGCUUCUGAAAGAGUAAUUCCAGAUUUUUAUGAAGAAAAAACUCUCCUUCCAGACCUCCAUUUGCAUGCAUCUGGGACAUUUUACCUACAGUGACAGCUGGUGCUGGCCUUUUUCACAACAGUUUUUUGGACUCAUGGACAAUGGCAACACUGAUGCGCACACACGCACGCUGGAGCUCGUGCUACGAGGCUGCAAUGAAGACGUGACGGAUUGAGGGAUGGUGAUGAAAUCGGGCACAUGCCGGCAAGUAUCGAGGGCAACAACAGGAACAAGAGCGACACAGACAGUCGUAGCGCUGUGAGCUCCGGCAGCGAUCAGUCACUAACGCACGCUGAGAGGAUCCCCCCGUUCCUGCAUCGUUCCCCAAGGACGCUGGCUCCA